UCUCUGCUAGCAAGUUGAUCCAGAAUCAUCUCGAAUUCAGUUUCAUAGCCAACCAUCAUAUUCUGGGGCCGCUCUACAGCAUGUUCAGGUAAACCCACAAGAGAGUAAGUUUGUACUUUUAGACUUUUUAUGCUUUCCAAUGUUGCCAUCCACUGUUUCAUGGUGGAAUCACUGCAUCCUAGUGCUCGUUCCAAGACAAAAAGGAACUCCAACACAGCUCUGCUUCUUUCCUCCACAGUUUGUGCUAAUAGAACUUCUCUCGAUUCUGAGUCAACCAAAUCCUCUGCGUUGUAUGCU
rnacentral:lncRNA from 1 species